CCUACGGGUGGCAGCAGUGGGGAAUAUUGGGCAAUGGACGCAAGCCUGACCCAGCAACGCCGCGUGAAGGAAGAAGGCUUUCGGGUUGUAAACUUCUUUUAAGAGGGAAGAGCAGAAGACGGUACCUCUUGAAUAAGCCACGGCUAACUACGUGCCAGCAGCUGCGGUGAUACGUAGGUGGCAAGCGUUGUCCGGAUUUACUGGGUGUAAAGGGCGUGCAGCCGGGAAGACAAGUCAGAUGUGAAAUCCCGCGGCUCAACCGCGGAACUGCAGUUGAAACUGUUUUUCUUGAGUACCGGAGAGGUCAGCGGAAUUCCUUGUGUAGCGGUGAAAUGCGUAGAUAUAAGGAAGAACACCGGUGGCGAAGGCGGAUGGCUGGACGGCAACUGACGGUGAGGCGCGAAAGCGUGGGGAGCGAACAGGAUUAGAUACCCGUGUAGUC
rnacentral:rRNA from 1 species